GCGACCCCAGGUCAGGCGGGGCCACCCGCCGAGUUUAAGCAUAUAAAUAAGCGGAGGAGAAGAAACUUACGAGGAUUCCCAUAGUAACGGCGAGCGAACCGGGAUCAGCCCAGCUUGAGAAUCGGGCGGCCGAGCCGUCUGAAUUGUAGUCUGGAGAAGCGUCCUCAGCGACGGACCGGGCCCAAGUCCCCUGGAAAGGGGCGCCGGGGAGGGUGAGAGUCCCGUCCGGCCCGGACCC
rnacentral:rRNA from 1 species